rnacentral:lncRNA from 1 species
AAAAAUAUUAAGAGAUAAUAGUUUUAGUGUAAAAUAGAAGAUAAUUGGCUAAUAUUAAUUCAAAUGUAAAGUAAAAACAAAGAAAAAGUAUUAGUCUAGUCAUCCAAAAUUUUUUUAUGUGACUUACUCUUUUUUCCUUUUGCUAUUGCUUCUAUUAAUACGUGGACUGUGGUUCUGGAAAAUGAAAACUUGGUAAGAGUUAGAACAAAAUUGAUUAUGGAUGGUCGUGGUUUAUAUGUAAAAGAAGAUUUUUUCUUUGAGAAAAAAUUCACCACUUUUUUGUUAUUUUGAUGUGUGUAUUGGACACUGGUUGAGCUAUUUCUUUGAUUUUGGACUUGCUUCUUAGGCAC